GAUUAACGUUGUAUGUUCGGCAGUACAACGUUUCAUUAAGUGCCUUGGUUCGUCUUUGUGCUAAAACAAAUACGGUAUCACUAAUUAACCAUCGAGAUUAACGAGUUUUCGAUGACUGUUGAAGUCUUGAGUAAACGAAAGUCAACAGUUACGGUUUGCAGGGCGGACAUGCCGGAACAUAAAUGCUGGUUAGUUCAUUGUCAUGUCAGCCCGACUUCGGUUGUUGCAUUUUUCGCUGGUAGUGAAACUACACACUGAAAAUUUUGCGCAAGUACUUUUGUUUGCAUAUCAUGGUUUCAUAGCAACUGGGUUUUUCUUUUUAUAGGUGCUUGGACUAUCUUGCAUCGGUGGAUAUGAAAAUAGUGGUAACCUACCCUACGAAACAGCUGUUUGCACAUAAGCUUAACAGUUCCCUGUGAGAUGCUGUGAAAGUCAGCAGGGAAGUGCGAUGUAGAAGAAACGACUGCCAGAAGCUUGCUAAGGAACCGCACAACCUGUGUGGGCAGCAGACAAAAUAUUCGUCAAACGGUACAAAACUAGUAUUUUUGUGCUUGGUCGUUUUGAGACAUCCUUGGUAUUGUAUGGAGAACAGCGUGACUAUGUCAUUCCGUCUUACUUCACCCAAACAGCUAUCUGGUAGUAGUGCAAGAUUUGAGUUCCUAAAAGGUUUAUUCACUGAAGUCACCUCAGCGCCAUACUAUAGGUCCCGCAAUGUUUAGUCCUUGCAUUUGUUUGCUGCAUUAUGCUUUUUAGGUGACUAUUAACACCAAAAAUAUGGAAAUUGCUCAGACAUUCUACAAAUCACAGAGCAACAAGUUUUAAACACCAGAUAUACGGUGAGUAUAAUAUGGGUAACAGCUUGACUGAAAUCUACAAUAGGGCCGAUGGCAGCAAAUCUGCCUGCUAGCGACAGUGGCGGUCUCCUGCGGAUGACGUCAUGUGAAUAAACUUGUAUACUACUUGUACGUACUUAUAAUAUUUGACGUGGUGAUACAGCUCUUGCUUUGUAUUGUCUUUUAUAAUAUACACAGUGUUUAUUUUUAUCCUGUACAGAAGUUUUGCACCAAAGUUAUGAGAGCAGCGCAGAUGUUGUUUUAGCGUAAUGGAGUGAUGGAAGUGCUGCGCCAAUCAUGGAGUGCUUAGCAGUUGCCUGCUCGACCAGCCACAGUGAGUCAUUGGAGGCAGUGCUGCAGCACCAACAAUCACUCGUUGGAAGAAAGGAAUGAGGUGGCCAUCAACACCCUGCUGCCAGUUCAACACUCCUCAGUCAAAACACAAGACGCCUGCUUGGCGGCGAAGUCAAUCCAGUUUUAGACAAGAGUUUUGUACCGUAGACUUCGUGUGUGGUUUACUGCGAAUAAAUGUUUAUGCUGA